AAAAAAGACGAGACCGUAUGCUCGUGCCGGACGCCGAUCAACCCGAGGGUUCCGUUGGCCAGAGACGGCGGCAGCAAAAAAAAACAAAUCAUCGUCGACAGCAUCGGCCCGUUACCGUCUGGAUUUUUUAUUGAUCAUUUUUCGUGGGUCAGGGAAAAGCGCAUUGGUGCACGACACGCCCGGCACGCGCAACCGACGGCGCCGCCUCUGUCGGCAUGGGAUACGACACGGGCAUCAAUCGCAUAUGCCUCGGUGGUUCCGCCGGCGCACGCGCGCCACUCAACGAUCCCCGUCCAUCGGGAGCCGUCGUCGUAGGCGACGACCACGUUGCCGUGGGCCAAGCCGUCGAGCCACGAGCCCUCGAUGCGCCAGCCCUGGUGCGACGUAUAGGUGCCGACGCCCUCGGGCACAUCGUCCUUCCACUCGCCGCGAUAGAUGUCGCCUGUGGCGUUGACAGAGAUGCCGAAUCCGUGCAUGCGGCCGCGUUGCCACACUCCCUCGCAUCGCCAACCAUCCGACAAAUAGACACCGCGACCGUGAGGCUUGUCAUCUUUCCACUCGCCCUUGUGGACGCUGCUAUCGAGGCCGCCGGCAGCCCCUUUUGUGGUUUCCACCCCGUAACCGUGCUUUUGGUUUGCGUGCCACGACCCCUCGUAUAACCAGUCGCCGUCGAUCGAAAUAUAGGCCCCGGUGCCCUCGAACGCGUCAUCCUCCCACCAACCGUCAUACAUGUCGGUGACGCGGCCGGUGCGGGUUUCGUACAGGGUCCACAGGCCGCGGCCGUGGCGCUUCCCCGAGACCCAGACCCCCUCAUAGGCUUCCGUCAGCGCUGUGUCUGCGGUACCGCCGCCCGAUCCCGUCGCCCCACAGGUGCGCAUGCCGAUUCCGAUGCCGUGGGCACAGCCAUCCUCUUGCUCGCCCCAAAAGAUCCACUUGUCGUCGUCGUCGUCGCCGUCGGCAGGUAUCGCCGGUGACGAGCGCACACGGCACAACCACCGCCAAUCCUUGCCCAAGGCAGAGGGCGCCCGCACGACCGGGACGCCGUGGCACACGCUAUACAGGUGGCGCCACAGAUUGCCGUCGCUGCAAAUGGCCGCGAGCCGACGGCACGUACGGCCCAGGCGAGCGACGUCGCUGAUCGACGCGGUCGCCUCGGCCACGCGCACAACGAGUUCGUCGGGCAAAAGGUCAAACCACGCCGGUCCGGCAUCGGUUUGGUGUCUGCGCCGCGCACGUAGGUAUCGCCUCGCAAAGAUAGGGCGGCGCACGUCGGGGUCCAUUGUCGCAGACACACAACAAGGCUCUCCUUUCGAUGUUUUGGAUUCCGACUCAUUGGAGCCGCGUGUGUCUUUUUUCUUGCUGUUGUCGUCCACACCGUUGCCCUUUUUGUUGUCUUGUGACUGGUCGCCAAUAAAUCGUUGUGCAC
rnacentral:lncRNA from 1 species